AUAUAUAUACAAUAUAUAUAAUCAGGGCCGGCAUAGGCCGAUUACUCAAAAUCGGGCCCCGUGGCUGGUAUUUACAUUUACCAUAUGGCUCUUGUCAUAGGCAUUUAAAGAUGUAGAAUUUAAAGGUAAUCAUAUUUAAAAUAUUUACUGUAUCGUAACUUAUUAAUUAACCCACCGGCGCCUAGUGUGUUUGAGUUGAUUCCUAUGCAAGUUGUAUAAUAAAUGUUGAUAUAAAGAUCUAAUUAAUAAUAAUAGCUGCUAUUA